AUUGAACGCUGGCGGCAGGCCUAACACAUGCAAGUCGAGCGGCAGCGGGAAAGUAGCUUGCUACUUUUGCCGGCGAGCGGCGGACGGGUGAGUAAUGCCUGGGGAUCUGCCCAGUCGAGGGGGAUAACUACUGGAAACGGUAGCUAAUACCGCAUACGCCCUACGGGGGAAAGCAGGGGACCUUCGGGCCUUGCGCGAUUGGAUGAACCCAGGUGGGAUUAGCUAGUUGGUGAGGUAACGGCUCACCAAGGCGACGGCCCCUAGCUGGUCUGAGAGGAUGAUCAGCCACACUGGAACUGAGACACGGUCCAGACUCCUACGGGAGGCAGCAGUGGGGAAUAUUGCACAAUGGGGGAAACCCUGAUGCAGCCAUGCCGCGUGUGUGAAGAAGGCCUUCGGGUUGUAAAGCACUUUCAGCGAGGAGGAAAGGUUGGUAGCUAAUAACUGCCAGCUGUGACGUUACUCGCAGAAGAAGCACCGGCUAACUCCGUGCCAGCAGCCGCCGUAAAAC
rnacentral:rRNA from 1 species